CGACAGUUUUCAGUCAGACAUUCACUCGAAUGGAGUCCCAGAGCUGAUCUGAUGAUGUCGGACUGUUUACACGGGCCGCCGGGAUCCAGAGCGCCGGACAGAGGAAUAACAUCCGUUACAGCAGGAACACAAGGAAUAUCACAUCACAUUUACUGAGAGCUAAACACGCGAAGCUGCGCUCUGCAGUCAGACUGGAGUGUAAUGAUGAUAUGCUGGUUUCUCUUAUGGAGGCGAUCGUGACCUCUAACCCUAACCUCUGAAAUGAAAUGACCAUAGGAACGGACACUGGAUGGCGCUGCUGGAUCGGAACCGAACCCGUGAAUAAGAGGAGGCGGUUCCGACUCCCGUCCGCAUUCACGCGCCGCUCCGCUUGAAGCAUUUCAGCUUCAUGCGCGCGGCCGCUGUGAAAGGCUACGCUGAUUAAUAUUGGAGCGCGUGGCACGGUUACCAAUCCUCCAUGAAGACGCAAAAUGGCCAUGAAAAUCUGCGCUCUUCAACUUGCUCGGUUUCAGUGGACGCCUGAGAAACUUUCUACCGAAGUCACGUUAAUCAGUUCGCCGGGGAGGGAAAGGUGAGCAGGUCAGCGGCCGGUCAGCGGAAAGACCGACAACCUUCACUCCGAGCCAAGAGCCCGACGACGGUCACACGCCUCAGGAAAGACAGCCUGGGAGGAAUGAAAGUGCAGAAAUGACAAAGGAAGAGGCAGGGAACCGUAAUCGACCUCUUGCGAUACGACAUGGAGAGGGAGAGGGAAAGAGAAGAGAAGAGAGGAGAGAGCGAGCAGAGCAGGAGUGGUCUGACUGCUUGUACGGCCUUCUUGAGAAACCUAUUAGCGAGAUUAACUAAUGCAUUUUAAAAAUAAAGCUUAUUUUGUGAAAUAA